CCUGCAGACUCGCCCGAACCCGCGGCCUCUCCGAGUCCGGGCAGCUCCCUGCGGGCCCGUCCCUGCGGCUCCCGGGUCCUUCCGCCGCCGUCCUCCUCCCUCCCUUCUCCGGGGCCUUCACUCCGACCGGAAAGAGGAGGGGAGACGGGGGCGAGGCAACAAUUUCUAUACCCCGGACCCCGCGCCAAGCCUUGAUGGGUCUCUUCACAGAUGUGGGUCUUCAAAAAACAAAUCAAGAGUUUCUAGAACAAGGGUUCCUGGAGCAGAUGUCAGCUAGAGGCAGCCAUCUCUGGGAAAACAACAACAACAGUUUUCAUCCUUGGAAGAGACACUCAAAGGGAGAUCCUUCCCAGCAGAUACAAUGCAUAGAGAUGAUGCUAAAAGAAAAUGACAGGGGCUUCCCUGGUGGCGCAGUGGUUGAGAAUCCGCCUGCCAAUGCAGGGGACACGGGUUCGAUCCCCGGUCUGGGAAGAUCCCAUAUGCCGCAGAGCAACUAAGCCCGCGUGCCACAACUACUGAGCCUGCGCUCUAGAGCCCACAGCCACAGCUACUGAGCCCACGUGCCACAACUACUGAAGCCCGUGCACCUAGAGCCAGUGCUCCGCAACAAGAGAAGCCACCGCAAUGAGAAGCUCACGCACCGCAACGAAGAGUAGCCCCUGCUCACCGCAACUAGAGAAAGCCCGCGCACAGCAACGAAGACCCAACUCAGCCAAAAAUAAAAUAAAUAAAAUAAA